rnacentral:rRNA from 1 species
CAGCAGCCGCGGUAAUACAGAGGGUGCGAGCGUUAAUCGGAUUUACUGGGCGUAAAGCGUGCGUAGGCGGCUUCUUAAGUCGGAUGUGAAAUCCCUGAGCUUAACUUAGGAAUUGCAUUCGAUACUGGGAAGCUAGAGUAUGGGAGAGGAUGGUAGAAUUCCAGGUGUAGCGGUGAAAUGCGUAGAGAUCUGGAGGAAUACCGAUGGCGAAGGCAGCCAUCUGGCCUAAUUCUGACGCUGAGGUACGAAAGCAUGGGGAGCAAACAGGAUUAGAUACCCCCGUAGUCCCUGUCUCUUAUAC